GAUGCACUAGCGCAGUGGUUGGUGUCUUGGGGUUGUACUCGAGAGGUCCUGGGUUCGAUCCCAGGGGAAGCC
rnacentral:tRNA from 1 species